rnacentral:rRNA from 1 species
AUUGAACGCUGGCGGCAGGCCUAACACAUGCAAGUCGAACGAGUGGCGGACGGGUGAGUAAUGUCUGGGACACUGCCUGAUGGAGGGGGAUAACUACUGGAAACGGUAGCUAAUACCGCAUACCAUGGGAUGUCCCCAGAUGGGAUUAGCUAGUAGGUGGGGUAAAGGCUCACCUAGGCGACGAUCCCUAGCUGGUCUGAGAGGAUGACCAGCAACACUGGAACUGAGACACGGUCCAGACUCCUACGGGAGGCAGCAGUGGGGAAUAUUGCACAAUGGGCGCAAGCCUGAUGCAGCCAUGCCGCGUGUAUGAAGAAGGCCUUCGGGUUGUAAAGUACUUUCAGCGGGGAGGCGUUACCCGCAGAAGAAGCACCGGCUAACUCCGUGCCAGCAGCCGCGGUAAUUC